AGCGUACACGGUGGAUGCCCUGGCAGUCAGAGGCGAUGAAGGACGUGCUAAUCUGCGAUAAGCGUCGGUAAGGUGAUAUGAACCGUUAUAACCGGCGAUUUCCGAAUGGGGAAACCCAGUGUGAUUCGUCACACUAUCAUUAACUGAAUCCAUAGGUUAAUGAGGCGAACCGGGGGAACUGAAACAUCUAAGUACCCCGAGGAAAAGAAAUCAACCGAGAUUCCCCCAGUAGCGGCGAGCGAACGGGGAGCAGCCCAGAGCCUGAAUCAGUGUGUGUGUUAGUGGAAGCGUCUGGAAAGGCGCGCGAUACAGGGUGACAGCCCCGUACACAAAAAUGCACAUGCUGUGAGCUCGAUGAGUAGGGCGGGACACGUGGUAUCCUGUCUGAAUAUGGGGGGACCAUCCUCCAAGGCUAAAUACUCCUGACUGACCGAUAGUGAACCAGUACCGUGAGGGAAAGGCGAAAAGAACCCCGGCGAGGGGAGUGAAAAAGAACCUGAAACCGUGUACGUACAAGCAGUGGGAGCCUCUUUAUGGGGUGACUGCGUACCUUUUGUAUAAUGGGUCAGCGACUUAUAUUCUGUAGCAAGGUUAACCGAAUAGGGGAGCCGAAGGGAAACCGAGUCUUAACUGGGCGUUAAGUUGCAGGGUAUAGACCCGAAACCCGGUGAUCUAGCCAUGGGCAGGUUGAAGGUUGGGUAACACUAACUGGAGGACCGAACCGACUAAUGUUGAAAAAUUAGCGGAUGACUUGUGGCUGGGGGUGAAAGGCCAAUCAAACCGGGAGAUAGCUGGUUCUCCCCGAAAGCUAUUUAGGUAGCGCCUCGUGAAUUCAUCUCCGGGGGUAGAGCACUGUUUCGGCAAGGGGGUCAUCCCGACUUACCAACCCGAUGCAAACUGCGAAUACCGGAGAAUGUUAUCACGGGAGACACACGGCGGGUGCUAACGUCCGUCGUGAAGAGGGAAACAACCCAGACCGCCAGCUAAGGUCCCAAAGUCAUGGUUAAGUGGGAAACGAUGUGGGAAGGCCCAGACAGCCAGGAUGUUGGCUUAGAAGCAGCCAUCAUUUAAAGAAAGCGUAAUAGCUCACUGGUCGAGUCGGCCUGCGCGGAAGAUGUAACGGGGCUAAACCAUGCACCGAAGCUGCGGCAGCGACGCUUAUGCGUUGUUGGGUAGGGGAGCGUUCUGUAAGCCUGCGAAGGUGUACUGUGAGGUAUGCUGGAGGUAUCAGAAGUGCGAAUGCUGACAUAAGUAACGAUAAAGCGGGUGAAAAGCCCGCUCGCCGGAAGACCAAGGGUUCCUGUCCAACGUUAAUCGGGGCAGGGUGAGUCGACCCCUAAGGCGAGGCCGAAAGGCGUAGUCGAUGGGAAACAGGUUAAUAUUCCUGUACUUGGUGUUACUGCGAAGGGGGGACGGAGAAGGCUAUGUUGGCCGGGCGACGGUUGUCCCGGUUUAAGCGUGUAGGCUGGUUUUCCAGGCAAAUCCGGAAAAUCAAGGCUGAGGCGUGAUGACGAGGCACUACGGUGCUGAAGCAACAAAUGCCCUGCUUCCAGGAAAAGCCUCUAAGCAUCAGGUAACAUCAAAUCGUACCCCAAACCGACACAGGUGGUCAGGUAGAGAAUACCAAGGCGCUUGAGAGAACUCGGGUGAAGGAACUAGGCAAAAUGGUGCCGUAACUUCGGGAGAAGGCACGCUGAUAUGUAGGUGAAGUCCCUCGCGGAUGGAGCUGAAAUCAGUCGAAGAUACCAGCUGGCUGCAACUGUUUAUUAAAAACACAGCACUGUGCAAACACGAAAGUGGACGUAUACGGUGUGACGCCUGCCCGGUGCCGGAAGGUUAAUUGAUGGGGUUAGCGGUAACGCGAAGCUCUUGAUCGAAGCCCCGGUAAACGGCGGCCGUAACUAUAACGGUCCUAAGGUAGCGAAAUUCCUUGUCGGGUAAGUUCCGACCUGCACGAAUGGCGUAAUGAUGGCCAGGCUGUCUCCACCCGAGACUCAGUGAAAUUGAACUCGCUGUGAAGAUGCAGUGUACCCGCGGCAAGACGGAAAGACCCCGUGAACCUUUACUAUAGCUUGACACUGAACAUUGAGCCUUGAUGUGUAGGAUAGGUGGGAGGCUUUGAAGUGUGGACGCCAGUCUGCAUGGAGCCGACCUUGAAAUACCACCCUUUAAUGUUUGAUGUUCUAACGUUGGCCCCUAAUCGGGGUUGCGGACAGUGUCUGGUGGGUAGUUUGACUGGGGCGGUCUCCUCCUAAAGAGUAACGGAGGAGCACGAAGGUUGGCUAAUCCUGGUCGGACAUCAGGAGGUUAGUGCAAUGGCAUAAGCCAGCUUGACUGCGAGCGUGACGGCGCGAGCAGGUGCGAAAGCAGGUCAUAGUGAUCCGGUGGUUCUGAAUGGAAGGGCCAUCGCUCAACGGAUAAAAGGUACUCCGGGGAUAACAGGCUGAUACCGCCCAAGAGUUCAUAUCGACGGCGGUGUUUGGCACCUCGAUGUCGGCUCAUCACAUCCUGGGGCUGAAGUAGGUCCCAAGGGUAUGGCUGUUCGCCAUUUAAAGUGGUACGCGAGCUGGGUUUAGAACGUCGUGAGACAGUUCGGUCCCUAUCUGCCGUGGGCGCUGGAGAACUGAGGGGGGCUGCUCCUAGUACGAGAGGACCGGAGUGGACGCAUCACUGGUGUUCGGGUUGUCAUGCCAAUGGCACUGCCCGGUAGCUAAAUGCGGAAGAGAUAAGUGCUGAAAGCAUCUAAGCACGAAACUUGCCCCGAGAUGAGUUCU
rnacentral:rRNA from 1 species